rnacentral:rRNA from 1 species
AACGAACGCUGGCGGCAUGCCUAACACAUGCAAGUCGAACGAAACCUUCGGGCUUAGUGGCGGACGGGUGCGUAACACGUGGGAACGUGCCCUUAGGUUCGGAAUACCUCACCGAAAGGUGUGCUAAUACCGAAUGAGCUCUUCGGGGGAAAGAUUUAUCGCCUUUGGAUGGGCCCGCGUUUGUUUAGCUAGUUGGUUUGGGUAAUGCCUCACCAAGGCGUGGUCCAGUGGCUGGUCUGAGAGGAUGAUCGGCCACAUUGGGACUGAGACACGGCCCAGACUCCUACGGGAGGCAGCAGUGGGGAAUCUUGCGCAAUGGGCGAAAGCCUGACACAGCCAUGCCGCGUGAGUGAUGAAGGUCUUAGGAUUGUAAAAUUCUUUGACCCGGGACGAUAAUGACGGUACCGGGAGAAGAAGCCCCGGCUAACUUCGUG